UUACCGUGAAUACGUUCCCGGGUCUUGUACACACCGCCCGUCAAACCAUGAAAGUCACCAAUACCUGAAGUGUCGCUUCGGCGACCCCAAGGUAGGGGAGAUGAUUGGGGUU
rnacentral:rRNA from 1 species